ACAUACACACACACACACACACACACACACACACACACACGCACACACACACACACACACACACACACUUAUAAUUCUCCACCUGCAGCCAGUAAAAAACACAGAAAACACCCCUCAACUUGAAAUAUCAACUCAUACACUUGGGUCGGUUUCUUCAACUACCAGUUCCUUCUCCGUUUACUGAGCGAGAUCAAGUCAAUAAUGUUCAUGUUCUGGAUUCUUUCAGCUGCUUUUGUUGUAAAGUGUCGUCACACAGGCAGGGCGAGGACACCUUGCUCCAGUCGGACUCGUUAAGCAAGCGCAGGAAUGCUGCAUAUCUCAGCUGCUGUCUGCUUUCCAGCACACGCUGAGAUCUCAGCUCCAGAGCGAUGGACUUCACCAAGCGUGUGGGACGCUGCUUCGGCUUCUUCGUCCUGGCCAUCGUGCUGGAUGUGGCCGGCCUCGUCCUGUUCCUGCUCGGCAUCUUCGCCCAGCUCAGCUUCUGGGAUUUCUUCGUGCUCUCGGGCCCCAUCAUCAUCUUCCUCAGCCUGCUCUUUUGGAUCUUCUGGUACUUGGGGAACAUCAACGUGCCCUACCAGCAGCUCCUAUCCUGAAGGAAAGGAAUGGAGGAGUGGAGCGGAGGGGAAAGAGGGAUUGGGGACUCUCGAGUUUACGAGCAAAGGGGAGAAAUCAAGUACUUUGGGGGACCUGUGAAGUGUACGCUAUGGUUUAGCACAGAGGGAUCUGCUGUCAUCAUGACGUGUCAAAACCCUGCAUGAACAAUACACCUUGCAAAAGAGUGUGAUGAACUCCCCAGGACUCAAUCUGCACUCUGUGCACUUUGUUUAAGGCUGCUUGUUCUGAAAUUGGAACGAAGCCGAGUCAGUGAUGGCGCUGGUACUGCUCUGUAUUUAAAUAUGAGAAAUAAAUGUGAUUUGAAGGCAUGAAGGUGAGUUGAAGUGGGUCAGAGUUAUACUGUACAAAGAAUUCACUGUAAACAUUAUAAUGACGUUCAGAUUCCAGGCCAAAGCUGUCCAACUGGAUGAGCCAGUGUGUGUGUGUUGUGUGUGUGUGUGUGUGUGUGUGUGUGUGUGUGUGUGUGUGUGUGUGUGCACACCCACUGGCACACACCUUGCAUGUUUCAGCACUCAGGAAACCUCUUAUACUGAAAUUACAAGUUACAAGAACAGAAACCAGAACUUCGGAUCUAUUUGGUGUGUGAUGAUGAUGUCACUGUUGUGAAAUGAGAUCUUCAUCUGUGCUUCUCUCUCUCUUUCUCCCGUUCUCU
ensembl:lncRNA